CCUACGGGGGGCUGCAGUGGGGAAUAUUGGACAAUGGGGGGAACCCUGAUCCAGCCAUGCCGCGUGUGUGAAGAAGGCCCUCGGGUUGUAAAGCACUUUCAGUGAGGAAGAACGCCUGGUGGUUAAUACCCAUCAGGAAAGACAUCACUCACAGAAGAAGCACCGGCUAACUCCGUGCCAGCAGCCGCGGUAAUACGGAGGGUGCGAGCGUUAAUCGGAAUUACUGGGCGUAAAGCGCGCGUAGGUGGCUUGAUAAGCCGGUUGUGAAAGCCCCGGGCUCAACCUGGGAACGGCAUCCGGAACUGUCAAGCUAGAGUGCAGGAGAGGAAGGUAGAAUUCCCGGUGUAGCGGUGAAAUGCGUAGAGAUCGGGAGGAAUACCAGUGGCGAAGGCGGCCAUCUGGACUGACACUGACACUGAGGUGCGAAAGCGUGGGUAGCAAACAGGAUUAGAUACCCUUGUAGUC
rnacentral:rRNA from 1 species